rnacentral:rRNA from 1 species
UGGGGAAUUUUGGACAAUGGGGGAAACCCUGAUCCAGCCAUCCCGCGUGUGCGAUGAAGGCCUUCGGGUUGUAAAGCACUUUUGGCAGGAAAGAAACGUCCUGGGUUAAUACCCCGUGAAACUGACGGUACCUGCAGAAUAAGCACCGGCUAACUACGUGCCAGCAGCCGCGGUAAUACGUAGGGUGCAAGCGUUAAUCGGAAUUACUGGGCGUAAAGCGUGCGCAGGCGGUUCGGAAAGAAAGAUGUGAAAUCCCAGAGCUCAACUUUGGAACUGCAUUUGUAACUACCGGGCUAGAGUGUGUCAGAGGGAGGUGGAAUUCCGCGUGUAGCAGUGAAAUGCGUAGAUAUGCGGGGGAACACCGAUGGCGAAGGCAGCCUCCUGGGAUAACACUGACGCUCAUGCACGAAAGCGUGGGGAGCAAACAGG